AACGAACGCUGGCGGCGGGGUUUAGGCAUGCAAGUCGAGCGAGAAAGGGGCAACCCGAGUAAAGCGGCGUAAGGGUGAGUAAUAGGUAGUUCACGUAUCCUGGUGACGCGGAUAAUUUCCCGAAAGGGAUUGUAAUACGCGAUGAGACCACGCCCGAUCAGUCGGGAGGGUCAAAGGUUCGGAUCCUUCGGGACCGAGCGCACGAGGAGCGGACGACCUCCGAUUAGCUUGUUGGCGGGGUAACGGCCCACCAAGGCGAUGAUCGGUAGCCGGCCUGAGAGGGUGUCCGGCCACACUGGGACUGAGACACUGCCCAGACUCCUACGGGAGGGCUGCAGUCGCGAAUCAUUCACAAUGGGCGCAAGCCUGAUGAUGCCACGCCGCGU
rnacentral:rRNA from 1 species